GCACCCAUAGCUCAACUGGAUAGAGCACCUGAUUACGGAUCAGGAGGUUUGGGGUUCGAAUCCCUAUGGGUGUACCA
rnacentral:tRNA from 2 species